UUUUCUUUCUUUUCCUUUUCGUUUGAUUUUGGAAAGCAAGGGACUGUCGUCUCGGUUCGCGAUCCACAAGUAAUCUUUUGUGGAGAUUAUGAAAACAAUCAUCACGAGAGGCUACGUGUGGGUGGCAAACAAAGACGACAAUCCCUAUUCCAGUUCCAUCAGAACUUGAAAUAUCAUGUGAACU